rnacentral:rRNA from 1 species
GGAGUUUGGACCGUGUCUCAGUUCCAAUGUGGGGGACCUUCCUCUCAGAACCCCUACUGAUCGUCGGCUAGGUGGGCCGUUACCCCGCCUAUUACCUAAUCAGACGCAUCCCCAUCCAUCACCAAUAAAUCUUUACUCCUCGUUAGAUGUCCGCGAAGGAGACCAUCAGGUAUUAAUUCGCCUUUCGGCGGGCUAUCCCUGAGUGAUGGGAAGGUUGGAUACGCGUUACUCACCCGUGCGCCGGUCGCCAUCAAAGGAAGCAAGCUUCCUUCAUGCUGCCCCUCGACUUGCAUGUGUUAAGCCUGUAGCUAGCGUUCAUCCUGAGCCAGUGAUACAACUCU